AUGUCUCCAUAUUAUAGUGCUCUGCAUUAUGAAGAGAACCUGUUGCUUACAAGUGUGAACCCUGCUUUCCUGGGAGUCGCCGGACACCUGCCUGCCGAUGGGAGCAGCAAAUAGGUUCCUGGUUCUGCUUUGCUCCUGCACAUGUCUUUUGCUUUACCUAGUGAAAUGUCUUUAUCUCAACCCAUGUGUUCUUGCACUUUUACCUCCCUGAUUCUCUCCCCAGUCCCACCUGGGGGGAAUGAGCGAGCAGCUGGGUGGCGCUGAGCUACCUGUUGGGACUUAGCCACUGCAAAGUGUUAUGAGGCUUACUUGCUUAUUUUGCUUUAACUGGAGUGAAUAAGGAUAAAUCAUCUGUAUCUUUUUACCUAUGACAACUGAUAGUUUCUCCAUGCCAUUUUCCACAGCUCUGUGCUGGUAGUGCAGUGGAGAUCCACUGGUGUCCGAUCUCUGAAUGGGACCCUGCCACCAAACAUGUCCUAAUUCACCAGAGCAUCUAGUGUUGCCAGAAAAGAGGUGCACAGGUGCCCCAGGUGAAAUUCUGGAUGAAGUGAAGCCUUCUCAUGAUGAGUCAUCAUGUUACACAAUGUAAAAAUCUUGCAUUUGUCACAAAACUUCAGCAAGUACAAAGGGUCUGGAUCCAUAGUCAUUAGAAGUCUACGGGUGUCCCAUCCCGGCACAGGGCCAGGGACUCCACCAUAGACUGCGGUGGGACUAAUGGGGCUUUUGUUCUGUGCUCACUCCUGGGCAAGUCACAGGUCUCAGCAAAGAGACUUCUUUCUUUCUCAGCUGUGAAUAAGAAAACUGGAAUCUGAAUGGCAGACAAUGGUGGAAGACAAGGAUUAUAAUUUACUAGAGGCUAAUUGCUCGAGGCUAACUGAGGCCCAGUUCUCACAGCAUCUCAGGAGGCAAUUUCUAUUCCUGGAGGUACAAAGCACUCAAUCUUCACUUCCUUCUCCUAUCAGCAGAGACAAGAGAACUUCAUAUUCGUUGUCUUUGGUGUGACACCACUAUUUAAUCUCUGUACCAUUAGCCAAGAACAGACAUGAAUACCUGUAUAUGUAAUGUUCAAAAUAAAAUGAAGUUUUAUUUGUUCAUUUUUCAAUUCACUUGAAGACAGAAUUUAAAUGCUAAGUAGACACCUAAUAGCACAUAAAUAACAUUAUUUUAUGUUCUAGAUAUUGCAUUUAACUGGAGUGCACAUCAUUAAAGAAGUUAAUACAAAAUGGAUGUUUAGCCACAUAAUAGUAAAUUGGUCACAUGCUCCAUUGUCUGAGAAAACAACUGAAUAAAAUUAUUCAAAUAUUUCAAAGAUAAUUAUGAAUGGGCUAUUAUUGAGAAUGUUGUCAUGCUAUAGAAAUUGUAAUGGUAUAGUGUGCUUAAAUCACUUUAACUUACAUCUCUAAUAAUUAGAAAUUGUAUUGGUCAUAAACUAAAGUCAUUUUUGACAUACAAAGGA